CACUGCACAUAAAAUAGUUGUUUUCUUCUCUUACUACUAGAUAUGGUGGUUACAUUUAUGCAGCAGAUUAAAAUUGUCAUGAUAUGAAGAGAGAGGGCUUUUGGGUGUUCUCUUUCUUUAUAAAAUGGCUGGACAUACUAUC
ensembl:snoRNA predicted gene, 25215